UACGUAGGGUGCGAGCGUUAAUCGGAAUUACUGGGCGUAAAGCGUGCGCAGGCGGUUCGUUAUGUCCCGAUGUGAAAGCCCCCGAGCUCAACUUGGGAAUGGCAUUGGAAACUGGCGGGCUGGGAGUGUGGCAGAGGGGGGUGGGAAUUCCCGGUGUAGCGGUGAAAUGCGUAGAUAUCGGGGAGGAACACCUGUGGCGAAGGCGGGCCCCC
rnacentral:rRNA from 1 species